rnacentral:rRNA from 1 species
GACGAACCGUCCUAACGUUGUUCGGAUUCACUGGGCUUAAAGGGCGCGUAGGCGGGCUGCCAAGUCCGGGGUGAAAUCUUUCGGCUCAACCGGAAAAGUGCCUUGGAAACUGACAGCCUCGAGGGGGGUAGGGGCCUGUGGAACUUCGGGUGGAGCGGUGAAAUGCGUUGAUAUCCGAAGGAACGCCGGUGGCGAAAGCGACGGGCUGGACCCCUUCUGACGCUG